rnacentral:rRNA from 1 species
UACGGGGGGAGCAAGCGUUGUUCGGAUUUACUGGGCGUAAAGGGCGCGUAGGCGGCCACUGCAAGUCGGUUGUGAAAUCUCCGGGCUUAACCCGGAAAGGUCAACCGAUACUGCAGGGCUAGAGUGCAGAAGGGGCAACUGGAAUUCUCGGUGUAGCGGUGAAAUGCGUAGAUAUCGGGAGGAACACCAGUGGCGAAGGCGACUUCCUGGCCUGUUCUUGACGCUGAGGCGCGAAAGCUAGGGUAGCAAACGGG